AUACCUACCUGGCAGAGGAGAUAUCAUGAUCAAGAAGGUGGUUCUCCCAGAGCGAGGCUCAUCCAUUGUAAUCUGAGUGUGUUGACCUCUGUGAUUUCCUCAAAUAGGGGAAACUCGGCUGCGUAAUUUGUGAUAGUGGGGGACUGCGUGCGCGCUUUCCCCUG
rnacentral:snRNA from 1 species